rnacentral:sRNA from 1 species
CUGCUUAGAUGUGGCUUUCUACCACAUUGUUAGGCAUUAUAACCAGGCUGGAACUAUCAGCCACUAACAGCAGCCACUACGCCCGAAAAAGCUAACGGCCAAUAAAGAAGAUCAUCAAAGUACUGAGAGUACUCGAGAAGAAAAUAUAUUUAUUUUAUUAUCGACAUCUUUUUUUCAAUUUCAAGAUGAGUAAUGUAUCAAUAAUUGUACGAGUAUUGACAACUUCAGAGGCAGUAAAGCUCGCCUUGAUAAGAGUUAAACAUGCGUCUGUACUUAAUAGAAAUCAAAUCAGUAUGUGUCCAUACGGGUCAUAAGUUACGAAAAUAAUGCUAUCCUAAGUGCAGUCCUAUUAAAAAUGGAAAACUCAACGCGUCCUAUAAAGUAGCAUGAAAAUGUAUGAUAAUAUAUAAAACAACAUAAAGCACAUUACUAGGUGUAUGAGGUACUACACAUACAUGUACUUAUAGGUUUUACAACUAUAUUUGUUGUAUAUUCUUACCAAAUCACACAUUUGUAGAUAUUCGUCGUAAAUUGGAAGCGACCGUCUAGGCAAACAAUCCUGACACUUUUUUAAAGCUGUCCCCUCCCCCCCCCCCCUAAAAAAAGAUAGUAUGUUUACAUCAAAGUUAAACAUGCUUGUGUUUAAAAUAUUAUCCCCUUUUUUUUUUACUACCUCGGAAACAACAUGAAUCGAAUAUUAAAAAGAUUUCCUAUCAUUACAAUAAUAACAUGAACAGAAGUCUACCAUGGUGAUUUUAUUCUAAUAAAAAGAAAUAGCGCCUGUCGCACAAAACGGCCAAAAUAUCAAUCCCAAGGUGAAAUGGGGAUUAUUUUGUCCAAGUCAUGUUUGGACAUGACCCUUCGAGGAAAAAAAAGAUAUGAUAAUUAAAAGGUCCAAAUAGCAUGCCCGACCUUUGAUUUUUUUUUAGCAUUUCACAAUGACAUAGGGCUAAAAGUUCGAUCAUUUUCUCGGAUAUCUAAGUGUGCAUCAAAGGAAUACCAUGGCAGUGAAGCGGACCUAUAGGGCUAUUAUUUCCUGGUCUCAAAUUUGGGUUGCAGGGGUACCAUCACAUAGUCCCGAGGGUUUCGGGCUCAUUUCAGGGGUUUAUAUCUCAUAUAUCUAGAAUCACUAGGAUAAUGUAUAGUACCUUCCCAUGUGUUCAUAACAAGCGUUAGAGGGUGUCUAUCACAUCUAAGAGUAUUAAUAUAACUCACCCUUAUUUUGUCAUUUUUUAAAUGUUAACAAUGAUAUAAGGGUAACAGAUGGGCCGUUAUCUCCAUUGUCUUUGAAGUGUGCAUCUAAGGAAUACAUGUAGCAAGGGAGUGUAGGGAACCUAUAGAGCAUACAUUUUUUGGUCUCAAAUUUGGGCUGUAGGGGUAUCACCAGUGGUCCCUAAGGCUUUGGGCUCAUUUCAGGGAUUUAUAUCGUUAAUCAUCCCACAAUUUUCUCUGAGAGAGAAUGUUAAUUUUUCAUUGUGUAUGAAUGUGUUUUUUGUUUCUUUUUUUCAAUGACAUAAUGGUUAUGCAACACAUGCACACAUGUUUUAUCAUAUUCGUGUAAACAUUGCAAUUUUUUGUCCAUUCAAUUGUAAAAUUGCGGUAAAAUAUAGUUCAGCAAGCUGUGCAAAAUUUGUAAAUCAAAUAUCGUUUUAAGAUACAUGUAAUAAAGCUAUAUAAAAUGUU